AUCUUCCAUACAUGUCCAUUGCAGUCAACCAAACACUCAUAGCUUACAAGAGCACCUUGGAAAAUAGUGGUUCUCAUCUCCACCACGUACACAGAAUUGUGCGCAACUUUACAACAACUCUUCUCAACAGUAGAUAUGCCUUUUAUACUGUUCAAAAAUAUUGUGCGUAAUGGUUCCCAAGGAACCCGGUCAUUCCGCCCAUCACAAUCUACUUUCAUUGAAGAGCUUAAUGACCAAUGCACAAAAGCACAUUUAGAGACACUUGCCAAAUGUAAUAUCCAGGUUGUCGGUGUCCUCAAAGCAAAGAAUGUCAAAUAUGUAUAUGAGAUCACAUAGGAAGUCAUAUAUAUAGGCAUGUGAAAAUGUUGAAUCUAGCUCAUUCCUUAAGUGGAGUAAUAUAUUUUGUUUCCAGUCUGAUUAUUUUACUGUAUUGAACAUUGCUAAGGUUAUG